rnacentral:rRNA from 1 species
CCUACGGGAGGCAGCAGUGGGGAAUUUUGGACAAUGGGGGCAACCCUGAUCCAGCCAUGCCGCGUGUCUGAAGAAGGCCUUCGGGUUGUAAAGGACUUUUGUCCGGGAAGAAAAGCGCGAUGUUAAUACCAUUGCGUGCUGACGGUACCGGAAGAAUAAGCACCGGCUAACUACGUGCCAGCAGCCGCGGUAAUACGUAGGGUGCGAGCGUUAAUCGGAAUUACUGGGCGUAAAGCGGGCGCAGACGGUUACUUAAGCAGGAUGUGAAAUCCCCGGGCUCAACCUGGGAAUUGCGUUCUGAACUGGGUGGCUAGAGUGUGUCAGAGGGGGGUAGAAUUCCACGUGUAGCAGUGAAAUGCGUAGAGAUGUGGAGGAAUACCGAUGGCGAAGGCAGCCCCCUGGGAUAGCACUGACGUUCAUGCCCGAAAGCGUGGGUAGCAAACAGGAUUAGAUACCCUAGUAGUC